CCUCUCGUAGUUUAGUGGUAGAAUGUUGGUGCGUAAAGCCAAAAGUCCCGGGUUCGAUUCCCGGUGCGGGUG
rnacentral:tRNA from 1 species